rnacentral:rRNA from 1 species
UAACGGCUGGAAACGGUCGCUAAUACCGAAUACGCUCCCGAUUUUAUCAUUGGGGGGAAAGAUGGCCUCUGCUUGCAAGCUAUCGCUUAAGGAUGAGUCCGCGUCCCAUUAGCUAGUUGGCGGGGUAACGGCCCACCAAGGCAACGAUGGGUAGCCGGUCUGAGAGGAUGACCGGCCACACUGGAACUGGAACACGGUCCAGACUCCUACGGGAGGCAGCAGUGGGGAAUAUUGCGCAAUGGGCGAAAGCCUGACGCAGCGACGCCGCGUGAGGGAUGAAGGUUCUCGGAUCGUAAACCUCUGUCAGGGGGGAAGAAACCCCCUCGUGUGAAUAAUGCGAGGGCUUGACGGUACCCCCAAAGGAAGCACCGGCUAACUCCGUGCCAGCAGCCGCGGUAAUACGGAGGGUGCAAGCGUUAAUCGGAAUCACUGGGCGUAAAGCGCACGUAGGCGGCUUGGUAAGUCAGGGGUGAAAUCCCACAGCCCAACUGUGGAACUGCCUUUGAUACUGCCAGGCUUGAGUACCGGAGAGGGUGGCGGAAUUCCAGGUGUAGGAGUGAAAUCCGUAGAUAUCUGGAGGAACACCGGUGGCGAAGGCGGCCACCUGGACGGUAACUGACGCUGAGGUGCGAAAGCGUGGGUAGCAAACAGGAUUAGAUACCCUGGUAGUCCACGCUGUAAACGAUGGGUGCUGGGU